rnacentral:rRNA from 1 species
CCUACGGGCGGCUGCAGUGGGGAAUAUUGCACAAUGGGCGCAAGCCUGAUGCAGCCAUGCGGCGUGUGUGAAGAAGGCCUUCGGGUUGUAAAGCACUUUCAGCGGGGAGGAAGGCGUUAAGGUUAAUAACCUUGUCGAUUGACGUUACCCGCAGAAGAAGCACCGGCUAACUCCGUGCCAGCAGCCGCGGUAAUACGGAGGGUGCAAGCGUUAAUCGGAAUUACUGGGCGUAAAGCACACGCAGGCGGUCUGUCAAGUCGGAUGUGAAAUCCCCGGGCUCAACCUGGGAACUGCAUUCGAAACUGGCAGGCUAGAGUCUUGUAGAGGGGGGUAGAAUUCCAGGUGUAGCGGUGAAAUGCGUAGAGAUCUGGAGGAAUACCGGUGGCGAAGGCGGCCCCCUGGACAAAGACUGACGCUCAGGUGCGAAAGCGUGGGGAGCAAACAGGAUUAGAUACCCGGGUAGUC